rnacentral:rRNA from 1 species
UUAAAUUGAAGAGUUUGAUCAUGGCUCAGAUUGAACGCUGGCGGCAGGCCUAACACAUGCAAGUCGAACGGUAACAGGAAGCGCUUGCUGCUUCGCUGACGAGUGGC